GACGAACGCUGGCGGCGUGCCUAACACAUGCAAGUCGAGCGGGGUUGAAGCGAGGGGUAACUCGGACUUCUACCUAGCGGCGAACGGGUGAGUAACACGUAGGUAAUCUACCCUUCAGAGGAGGACAACCUCAGGAAACUGAGGCUAAACCUCCGUACGUUCAUGUGCAGGGAUGCAUAUGAAGAAAGAGUUACCGGAAGGUAGCUGCUGAAGGAUGAGCCUGCGGCCCAUCAGGUAGUUGGUGAGGUAACGGCUCACCAAGCCUAAGACGGGUAACCGGUCUGAGAGGAUGUCCGGUCACACUGGGACUGAGACACGGCCCAGACUCCUACGGGAGGCAGCAGCAGGGAAUCUUGGGCAAUGGGCGAAAGCCUGACCCAGCGACGCCGCGUGGAGGAAGAAGUCCUUCGGGGCGUAAACUCCUGGACUGGGGACGAGGAAGGACGGUACCCCAGUAGAAAGGGACGGCUAACUACGUGCCAGCAGCCGCGGAAAAUCAACGUGUA
rnacentral:rRNA from 1 species